GUUCCCUGGUCCAGGCAGCAGUGACUCAGCCGCCCUCGGUGUCGGUGAACCUGGGAGAAACCGUCCGGAUCACCUGCUCGGGGCUUGAUAGCAGCUAUGCUUAUGCUGGCUGGUACCAGCAGAAGGUCCCUGGCACUGCCCCUGUCACUGUCAUCUACAAGAACAACCGGAGACCCUCAGGCAUCCCUUCGCGAUUCUCCGGAUCCACAUCUGGCACCACGUGCACAUUAACCAUCACUGGGGUCCAAGCCGAGGACGAGGCUGUCUAUUACUGUGGUUCCCUGGUCCAGGCAGCGCUGACUCAGCCGCCCUCGGUGUCGGCGAACCUGGGAGAAACCGUCCAGAUCACCUGCUCGGGGAUUAGCAGCAGCAGCUGGAAUUAUGCCGGCUGGCACCAGCAGAAGGUCCCUGGCACUGCCCCUGUUACUGUCAUCUACUGGAAUGACAAGAGACCCUCAAACAUCCCUUCGCGAUUCUCCGGAUCCUUGUCUGGCUCCACGGGCACGUUAACCAUCACUGGGGUCCAAGCCGAGGACGAGGCUGUCUAUUACUGUGGUGGCUGGGACAGCAGCAGUGGUGGCUAUGUUGUCUGGUGA